rnacentral:lncRNA from 1 species
GAGACAAACCGAGACUGUGCACCAAGUCUUCAGUUAGGGUACACAACAAACCCUACAGAUGUUGCAGAGGGCAGGUCAGCCAAGCCACAGUGACAAGGAUCUUGGAACGGUGGCUUGAUGUCGUGCACAUACGCCUGAGCCAACUUGUGGAGUGGCCAGGUCGGGAGGAGCUGCAACUAGCCAUGCCCAUGUGCUUUCGUAGAGCAUUUGGAACUAGAGUGGCUGUAAUAAUUGACUGCUUCGAAGUGUU